AUUGAACGCUGGCGGCAUGCCUUACACAUGCAAGUCGAACGGUAACAGGUCUUCGGAUGCCGACGAGUGGCGAACGGGUGAGUAAUACAUCGGAACGUGCCUAGUAGUGGGGGAUAACUACGCGAAAGAGUUGCUAAUACCGCCUGAGAUCUACGGACGAACGCCGGGGAUCGCAAGACCUAGUGAUACUCGAGCGGACGAUAUCAGUUUAGGUAGUUGGUGGGAUAAAAGCUUACCAAGCCGACGAUCUGUAGCUGGUCUGAGAGGACGAGCAGCGACACUGGGACUGGGACACGGCCCAGACUCCUACGGGGGGAAGCAGUGGGGAAGUUUGGACAAUGGGCGCAAGCCUGAUCCAGCAAUGCCGCGUGCAGGAUGAAGGCCUUCGGGUUGUAAACUGCUUUUGUACGGAACGAAAAGCCCUAGGUUAAUACCCUGGGGUCAUGACGGUACCGUAAGAAUAAGCACCGGCUAACUACGUGCCAGCCGCCGCGGUAACAC
rnacentral:rRNA from 1 species